rfam:Medicago truncatula strain A17 unplaced genomic scaffold scaffold0026, whole genome shotgun sequence.
CCCUUAACUAUUAAAAUUUUCGUUUUGGUCCUUUAACUUACUUUUUGGUUUCGUUUUGGUCCCUUAACUUAUUUUUUAGUUUAAUUUUGGUCCCUUAACUCUAAUACAUUCAUCCUAACAUAAAGGACCAAAGUGGUUGACAGAGGAUGAGUUAAGGGACCAAAACAAAACCAAAAAGUAAGUUAAAGGACCAAAACGAAACUUUUAAUAGUUAAGGGACCAAAACGAAACCAAAAAGUAAGUUAAGGGACCAAAACGAAACUUUUAAUAGUUAAGGUA